GUCGCCGUGCGGGCCGACUUCACCGGCGCCGAUCUCACCGGCGCGAACCUGGCCGGUGCGACGCUGACCGGCGCCACC
rnacentral:tRNA from 1 species